GACGAACGCUGGCGGCGUGCCUAACACAUGCAAGUCGAACGGAGAGGCUUGACAGAACACUUCGGUGGGACGACAAGUUUUCUUAGUGGCGGACGGGUGAGUAACGCGUGAGCAACCUACCUUUGAGAGGGGAAUAACAGUUGGAAACGGCUGCUAAUACCGCAUAAAGUCAGAAAGACGCAUGUUUUUCUGACCAAAGAUUUAUCGCUCAAAGAUGGGCUCGCGUCUGAUUAGAUAGUUGGUGAGGUAACGGCCCACCAAGUCGACGAUCAGUAGCCGGACUGAGAGGUUGAACGGCCACAUUGGGACUGAGACACGGCCCAGACUCCUACGGGAGGCAGCAGUGGGGAAUAUUGCACAAUGGGCGCAAGCCUGAUGCAGCAACGCCGCGUGCGGGAAGACGGCCUCGGUUGUAACCGCUGUCCUUGUGUAGAAGAAAUAGACGGUAACCAUAGGAGGAAGCCGACGGCUAACUACGUAGUCCACGCAGCGCGGUAAAGUACG
rnacentral:rRNA from 1 species